rnacentral:rRNA from 1 species
CAAUAGCGUAUAUUAAAGUUGUUGCAGUUAAAAAGCUCGUAGUUGGAUUUCUGGUGGGAGCACGGGUCGGCCUUCACGGGUUGUACUGUUGUUGCGUCCUGCCGUUUCGGAGGGAAUGGUCAUGUUAUUAGGUUAGCGUGAUCGGAAACUCUGUCGUUUACUGUGAAAAAUUAGAGUGUUCAAAGCAGGCCUUCGCUGUGAAUACAUUAGCAUGGAAUAAUAAGAUAGGACUGUAGUGCUAUUUUGUUGGUUUGCGUACUAUGGUAAUGAUUAAUAGGGAUAGUUGGGGGUAUUCAUAUUCAAUUGUCAGAGGUGAAAUUCUUGGAUUUAUGAAAGACGAACUUCUGCGAAAGCAUUUACCAAAGAUGUUUUCAUUAAUCAAGAACGAAAGUUAGGGGAUCGAAGACGAUUAGAUACCGU